CUUGUAAGCACAAUGGAAGUGUGAAGAGAGCUGAGUAAUCCUUGGCUAGGUAUCCAACAAUUCCUUUUCCCCUAAAAUGAAUCUAAUUAAUGGGGCUUUUCAAGUGGCCAACGCCCAGGCAAUUAAUGCGCACCCUUUUCCUUAGUAUAAUGUGGUAUUCCAAUCAGGAAAACUGAAUUCUUCAGUCCGUUAACUUCUUGCUCUGUCUUGCCCACUACCAGCAGAAAAAAAUUCCCUCCUCCUGACCAGAAUUCAUAUCUGUGGCUAGAAACUCUAGAGUAACAAAAGCAACAUUAGACCUGAAAAGCAUUUUGGCUCCAAAGGCUUCAGUGAUAUUCUACUUCUCCUGCAGGCUGGAAUUGGGGCUUGAAGGCAGCAGUGGGGUAGGGUCUGGGCUGAGAGCCAGUGACCUCCCUUCUUUGCACUGAAUUGUGUUUGGGCUUUUCCACUUUGCUAAGUUCUAAUGCUUCAUCAUUCACAAUAGGCCUCCAAUAGAAUAAUGAUCACCACCUUGUGUUUUGUGAAGUCAUGCUCUGGAGACAUCAAUGUGAUUUUAGAUGCUUAAAGUGUAUUAAGGAGAUCCUGGGUAAACUGAUUCACUUUCCUUUGAUUGGAGGAAGCUCUGGAGUACUUUGUCCUUAUUGCCUUGAGAAGACUCACUUGGAAAAGUUCUUGAUUCCAUGCUGAAGGAGUGCAUUUUCUCUUUAAAAAUCCCCCUUCGGAAGGACUUGAUUUUUCAUAAAGGAGGCAGAAAUAGCCUGUUGGAAAGCUGUGUGCCACUGAAAUUGAUAAGCAAUGGGGCAUCAAGUGAGUUCAUUUCUUCUUUCACUAGCCAAUAGCCCUCUCAAUAGUUAAUGACAAAUGAAAAACCCACAAGAUGAUAAGAAAAAUUUGAAGUAGAGGAAUGGUCGGAAGUAUAAUGCAUGUUUUAUUUGAAUUAAUAAACAAUAUUCUCUGGAAGCAAA